AUUGAACGCUGGCGGCAGGCCUAACACAUGCAAGUCGAGCGGAUGAAGGGAGCUUGCUCCUGGAUUCAGCGGCGGACGGGUGAGUAAUGCCUAGGAAUCUGCCUGGUAGUGGGGGAUAACGUCCGGAAACGGGCGCUAAUACCGCAUACGUCCUGAGGGAGAAAGUGGGGGACCUUCGGACCCCACGCUUCCAGAUGAGCCUAGGUCGGAUUAGCUAGUUGGUGGGGUAAAGGCCUACCAAGGCGACGAUCCGUAACUGGUCUGAGAGGAUGAUCAGUCACACUGGAACUGAGACUCGGUCCAGACUCCUACGGGAGGCAGCAGUGGGGAAUAUUGGACAAUGGGCGAAAGCCUGAUCCAGCCAUGCCGCGUGUGUGAAGAAGGUCUUCGGAUUGUAAAGCACUUUAAGUUGGGAGGAAGGGCAGUAAGUUAAUACCUUACUGUUUUGACGUUACCAACAGAAUAAGCACCGGCUAACUUCGUG
rnacentral:rRNA from 1 species